CCGAGUCUACAACUCCCAAACCCCUGUGAACAUACCUAUAUGUUGCCUCGGCGGAUCAGCCCGCGCCCCGUAAAACGGGACGGCCCGCCGCAGGAUCCACAAACUCUGUUUUUAUUGUAACUUCUGAGUAACAAAACAAAUAAAUCA
rnacentral:misc_RNA from 1 species